UAGAGUCUACUCCUGGAGCGGUAAAGCAAGCUUCCAGUCGUCGGGUGGAACAGAAGCGAAGGAACGUUCUGGAAUCUUUCAUCGUGCAUGCUGUGGACUCCCCAGAAAAAUUCAUCACAUGUAACAAGACCACACACAAAGGAUCUAACGAACUGUCGCAAGGACAUUUGAAACAUAGACUGACUUCUACAGUAAGAUUUACACCCCAGUUUUGAUUUGUAUUGCUUUGAUCUAUUGUUUCUAUCUUUGCUUUAUAAUUUUGCACAUUUGUAAAUUCUGCCCACAUUCCACUGCCAUGCCAUGCGCUGUGGGAUGUGUCCAGUCUUGCCCUACCACAUCUGCUAGCAAUCAGCUAGCCCAGGGUGAGUCUCCCAAAGAAAACAAAAGGGCCUAUCUUCUAAGCUAUUCCGGAUCCCAGUGGUGUACUGUACAUUCCUCACACUUCUCUGUUUACCGAAUUGUAAGGCUUACUUAACCAGCACAAAAAUUGUGACACUUUUGUUUUUCAACAAUGUAUGCAUGUAGAUAUUGCAUCAGGUGCCAAGCAUUCAGCUGGUUUUCUCUUAGGGUAGCCAGGGUCUGUUUCUGAAGCAUAUUACACAUUGCUAUACAAUGUCUGUUUCCAUAUCUGUAUGUUUCCAUAUUUCCAUAUUUAUAUGCUUAAUAUUGCAACUGUCAGUCGGCAUUUUAAUGUACCAAGCCACUGACCUACAUUAUGCCCCUGAAUAACAGAGGGCCAAGAAGGUCACAGUUACUCCUGACCUCAUUACUUCCAGUUCAAGUUAGCGUAGCAUGUAGAUCGUGUAACAGUGUGUCAGGCAUUCAGCUGGUUUUCUAGGGUUUGUCUUCUGAAGCACAAUACAUUGCUAUGUUGUCUACUGGUUUAGUUUUACAAGUACUGAUCCACAUAAUUAGUUAUUUCUUGAUUUUUGUACCUUUCUUAUAAUACCUGUAAUGUAAGUAGUCUACCCAGUGGUUUCAUAUCUUUAUGAUUAUUCAGAUUGACUUGUCAAUCUUCUCCUGUUAGGGGAGGUAUGUUAUGAACCACUGCGAACUCCUACUCAAACCCCCUAAUUUAGAAAUAGACUCAUCCUGUGACCUCAUCCUGUGACCUCAUUCUGGUGCUAGAUGAUCCUGGAGAAAGGACACAAUAAACCAUGUGCUCCUCAAAAUGUCUAGUGUUCGGCUAGUUAUUUGCAAUUACUCAAUAGCCUUAACACCGGCUCAUAAC